ACGGGGUUUCUCCAUGUUGGUCAGGUUGGUCUCGAACUCCUGACCUCAGUUGAUCUGUCUUCCUUCGCCUCCCAAAGUGCGGGGAUUACAGGUGUGAGCCACCACACCUGGCCUGGCAUGUGUUUUAAUAAUACAAAGGGGGAGUGAAUCUGGUGCACGGAGUGGAUAGACUGAGAAUGGAAUUAGCUGGUGAACGCAAUGGAAAUGGCAAAGAAUGGAAUGAGCAGGGCAAGGCCAGGUUUGAAGAGAAACAACCCUGGAUACGGAUUAUUCAGUAACAGAUUAGAAUAUUGGGGUUUAUGACAAGUCUGAUAAAUCAUAAAGAUGAAGGACACAAGAUACUGGGAAUUAUCUACAAAGGCACAUUAAAAUAGAGGGCUCAAGGAAGCUCUAAACAGAUUGCUGUGCUCUUUUUAAAUCAAGAACUGACAAACUGGAAGAUUUUUGCUAUAAGAUGCUAAAACAUGUGGAGACUCUGGGAGGAGUGUCUACAUCAGACAGAAAUGUGGUGUCAUCUAAUUCCAUCCUGACUUACAGAGGAGGCUUAGAGCCCCUUGAGUACUGAUGGGCUCAAGACUGCUGAACUACAUAGAUCAGUGGUCCAAGGCAGGUGUCUCCUCAUCCAUUCUGUUGGCUGCCGGUUGACUCUAAUGAUUGUUUCUUUUGCUAUGCAGAAGCUCUUAAGUUUAAUUAGAUCCCACUUGCCUAUUUUGGCUUUUGUUGCCACUGCUUUUGAUGUUUUAGUCAUGAAGUUCUUGCCUAUGCCUCUGUCCUGAAUGGUACUGGCCUAGGUUUUCUCCUAGGGUUUUUAUGGUGUUAUGUCAAUGUUUAGAAGUUUCUUUGAAAUGAGUGAAUAAGAUGUGAUUAAGUUGCAUUUUGGCUAAUUUGGGGGGGGGGUGUCAGGCAGUUAUUUGAUAUGAUAGCUGAUUUGCUAAUUUUAGAAGCAGUUGUGUUAUAAAGUUUAUUCUGUGAAUACCAAAUUUAUCAUUUUCUAAGAAUACUGCACUGAUCUUGAAAUAUAAAAGUUUAUUCUUUUCUAUCAAGACUGUGGCAAUUCAAUGUUUUCUCUUUUGAUAAAUAUUUUGAUAGUGAAAGCUUAUUCUAUAUGGUUUAUUUGAUGUGUUUUAAGUCUUGCAUGAGUGGAUCAAGGAACUCUGAUGUCCUUCCCAUAUUCACAUAGACUGGGUCAUGGGCAGCACAGGCUGUCAACUCAGUAAUGAAGUUCAGCUGGGUAGCUGGAGGUGUGUCUGUCCUGGUAGUAGAGACUCCAGUUAGGUUGUUAUUCAAGAGCAGGGAUAUGGAGCGCUCCUACUCCUAGCCAUUUUAGGCCAUCUUCACAGGAAUCUGUGCUUUCAUACACUGAAGAUUAGAAGACUGGAAACUGCCAUGGAGCCCUACAUAAGUGGAAUCUGGAAGUGCGACUCCAUAGGAAGAAAGCAUUUUCCAUGAACUGUGUGUGGACUCCUGUCUGAAACCUGAUGAUGAAGACUUGACUGUUACUACAAAGGUCAGAGAUGUAAGGAAAAUCUGCAAGGAGGAAGCCAUGCCCUUGGCAUAGAAGCAGCUUGUUCCUGGGGUAAAGAGGUACAUUUGGAAGAGCAGGCCAAAGUCGGACAGUAAGCCAACAAGGGAACUGUUGAGCACAGUCAAGAGGCUGGGGACUUGAGCCUGCAUUUUGGGGGUACCCACAGAUGACAAAAGGAGAAACACAUCAUAAACCCAGCUUCAAAUGGCGCUUUGGCAUAAAAUUACUUUGCUGCCCAAACUGGCAUUUAAUAUUGGUUGAAAUGAAAAAGACAUACCAGCCAUCAACUUUUUACCAUAUAAUUAAUGUCAUGAAUAAUAUCAUGUCUUUUUACUUUAAUGCUCUUUUGAAAAUGGGUAAUAAACGAACAAUGUACAGAAUUCAAAAGUCACAAAAAAGUAUGGACCUUGAGAAUAUUGUGUUAAGUGAGACAAACCAGUCACAAAAAGACAAAUACUAUAUGAUUGCACAUGUAUGAGCUGUCUAGAGUAGUCCAAUUUAUACAAUCAAAAAGUAGAAAGGUGACUGCUGAGGGUAGGUAGAAGUACUAAGUACUUGUUUAAUGGCUAUGAAAAAGUUUUGGAGACUGGUUGUACGAUAUGAAUAUACUUAACACUACUGAACUGUACCCUUAAAAAUGUUUAAGGUAGUAAGUUUUGGUAUAUGCAUUUUAUCACAAUUAAAAAU